UGAUCUAGCUUGCUAGAUUGAUGGCGAGUGGCGAACGGGUGAGUAAUACAUCGGAACGUGCCCUGUAGUGGGGGAUAACUAGUCGAAAGAUUAGCUAAUACCGCAUACGACCUGAGGGUGAAAGUGGGGGACCGCAAGGCCUCAUGCUAUAGGAGCGGCCGAUGUCUGAUUAGCUAGUUGGUGGGGUAAAGGCCCACCAAGGCGACGAUCAGUAGCUGGUCUGAGAGGACGAUCAGCCACACUGGGACUGAGACACGGCCCAGACUCCUACGGGAGGCAGCAGUGGGGAAUUUUGGACAAUGGGCGAAAGCCUGAUCCAGCAAUGCCGCGUGUGUGAAGAAGGCCUUCGGGUUGUAAAGCACUUUUGUCCGGAAAGAAAUGGCUCUGGUUAAUACCUGGGGUCGAUGACGGUACCGGAAGAAUAAGGACCGGCUAACUACGUGCCAGCAGCCGCGGUAAUACGUAGGGUCCAAGCGUUAAUCGGAAUUACUGGGCGUAAAGCGUGCGCAGGCGGUUGUGCAAGACCGAUGUGAAAUCCCCGAGCUUAACUUGGGAAUUGCAUUGGUGACUGCACGGCUAGAGUGUGUCAGAGGGGGGUAGAAUUCCACGUGUAGCAGUGAAAUGCGUAGAGAUGUGGAGGAAUACCGAUGGCGAAGGCAGCCCCCUGGGAUAACACUGACGCUCAUGCACGAAAGCGUGGGGAGCAAACAGGAUUAGAUACCCUGGUAGUCCACGCCCUAAACGAUGUCAACUAGUUGUUGGGGAUUCAUUUCCUUAGUAACGUAGCUAACGCGUGAAGUUGACCGCC
rnacentral:rRNA from 1 species